rnacentral:misc_RNA from 1 species
GAUGAAGAACGCAGCGAAAUGCGAUAAGUAAUGUGAAUUGCAGAAUUCAGUGAAUCAUCGAAUCUUUGAACGCACAUUGCGUCCGCCAGUAUUCUGGCGGGCAUGCCUGUUCGAGCGUCAUUUCAACCAUCAAGCCCCCGGCUUGUGUUGGGGACCUGCGGCUGCCGCAGGCCCUGAAAACCAGUGGCGGGCUCGCUAGUCACUCCGAGCGUAGUAGUUACAUCUCGCUCAGGGCGUGCUGCGGGUUCCGGCCGUUAAAAGCCUUAUUUACCCAAGGUUGACCUCGGAUCAGGUAGGAAGACCCGCUGAACUUAAGCAUAUCAAUAAGCGGAGGA